CACCACAACAGGUGGAGCCUGCGGUUUAAUCGGACUCAACGCCGGGAAACUCACCAGAUAAGACAGCUGAAUGAUAGUCGGGCUGAAGACUCUACUUGACUAGCUGAGAGGAGGUGCAUGGCCGUCGUCAGUUCGUACUGUGAAGCAUCCUGUUAAGUCAGGCAACGAGCGAGACCCACGCCAACAGUUGCCAGCUCGUCCUCCGGGAUGGUGGGGACACUGUUGGGACCGCCUCUGCUAAAGAGGAGGAAGGAAUGGGCAACGGCAGGUCAGCAUGCCCCGAAUUAUCUGGGCUACACGCGGGCUACAAUGGGUGGGACAAUGGGUAUCGACACCGAAAGGUGAAGGCAAUCUCCUAAACCCAUCCGUAGUUCGGAUUGUGGGCUGCAACUCGCCCACAUGAAGCUGGAAUCUGUAGUAAUCGUGUCUCAAAAUGGCACGGUGAAUAUGUCCCUGCUCCUU
rnacentral:rRNA from 1 species